rnacentral:lncRNA from 1 species
AACUAAAAAUAUCUCAUGUGGUAGUCACCUCUAGGAUUUUUUUGCAUUUUUCUUUAGGAGGUUACUGGCCUGUGUAUGUCCAUGUGCUUCCAAGGCUUUAGCAUCUCAGAACAUAGAUUGGAAAGGACCUCAAAGCAAGUCUGUCUAAAGCAGGUUCCCCCCUUCCUUAGUGAGAGCUGGAUUCAAGGAAACUGGAGCUUCUGCUAUUUGUAAUUAGCUUUGUGAACAGUUGCAAUUAGACAUUUGGAAAAUGCAGCAUUUUGCUUUCCCUCAGAAGAACAGGAAGUCCACCCCUCUGCCUUCUCCUCUUCCUGAUGCCACGAUUGCAACUUUUACCUUCUGUGUGGAGCUGAGAGCAGAUGUGACUUUAGACUGGAGGCAAAGUUGGUGAUGUGUAUUGAACACUCUGAGUGAAAUUUUAUUUACGUGGAAAUUCUGCUUCUGAAACCAGAUGGUCAACACCAGAGAGCAGUGAAUAGACUUACCUAAUCAAGGUCCAGGUUUGCCUGCUUUUUUGGCUUUACCUCUCUCUCUCAGCUGCUUUAACAUU